rnacentral:lncRNA from 1 species
UAGUAAGUGGGUUUAUUGAGAUCACUGAACAUAACAAUGUAUGACAUUUAUUCAUUUCCCACUGAAAGGCUUUCCAGUGAAACUGUUUUUACAUGGAUUCAGGCAUUAAGCAUUUUCAGUGAUUUUUUGCAGUUGAAAGGGUAGGUGGUGGGAAGAAACAGAGGACUUUUCCAGACUUUCAAGGGAUUCACUUUAUUACACUGCUGUGGAAAAGCAAGAGCUAAGAAAUGCAAUUGUUCUACCAAUGCAACACCUAGGCGCACAAGAGCUGCAAGAUAAGUGCAAGGCUGCAAAUAAGAGCAAACGACUUCACCGCUCCCAAAUGCCAAUAGGCCUGGAAUCUGAAGCAAGCCCUGGCAGCAAACUAAGAAUGACAGUCCAUUUCCUGUGGUUUAUUAAGUUUCGGCCCCACGGAUAAGACCGCCAGAAAAGCAGCUGUAUUUUAAGUGGUCUGGACAUUUACUCAUCUGAACAUAAACAAAGAUCCGCUCAUUGAAAUCCCUGUGUCCCUCUUCGGCUGUUGGGACAAGGGCAGGCCUGGCUCAGUGGAGGCCAAACAUAAACGGGAUGGGGUGGGGUGCAAGGAUCCCUGGACUAUGACAGAUUCCCUGAGUCUUCAGGACCCUCAGGGGCUUAAGGCCCUCAACAGAAGAUUCCCUGUUAGCCUUAGCACCGUUGCAGUGGCCUCCCCGGCACCCCACAGCCAACGACUCCAUAACCACGGUUAACAUAACGAGAUCGUGCACACGCUCUAAGUGACUGUGUUUCAGACCACACACAAAAUCAUUAAUGUAAACCAAAGCACUACAUUUAGUGAUAAACAUCUACUUCAUAAAUAUCAGGAAAGGAAAAUACCCCAAGUAGUUGAAAACAACUGAACAAAUAAAGGAGCCUAGCCCUAAGUUUAAAACAAAAACAUUUCAAAGAAAUACUGCAAUGACUAACUAAAAGAUAAGAUUUAAUCACAACAAGGACAGAAAACACUGGGUAGUGGAGGGAAUAAUUUGCAAAAUAUAGAAUUAUUUCACAGUGAGGUUUAAGUACUCAUACCAAUCUUCUGGUUUUAGUAGAAACAGACAACCACUGAUGCACAUUUUUCUUUCACAUUGUCCCCCUCUGCUCUUUUAUGUAAAGUAAGACAAUAUGUGAUCAAACAUUACAUAUCAAUGGCAAGUCGCCUUUUGCUCACCCCAUUAGGAAAUUACCUAACUGUGCAACCAUUUAUCACCUAACUGUGCAACUCAAGAGCCACAGGGCACAGUCAACCGCGUGUCACUGACAAAAACACCGGAAGUACCACAUCACAGUUAUUCCGAUCUGGACAGGUUGUCAGAGAUGUGGUGAGUGAACCAGAACGCUGGCAUUCCCUAAGGGGUCAUCGGAUAUAUAUACACAUUACAUUCUUUUAUGGCAUUCGACAUUGAUAUUUCCUCUUCCGUAUAUAGGUUUAAAAAAAUAAAAUUAAAAAGCCACAGGAGCAACCCUGACAGAGAAGUCUUGCAUGAAGCCUUCUCCUAAGAAAGUAUGUAAUCUUAGUUAACUUCAAGGUCUGCGAAUGUUCUUGUGAUGUGACUGUUACAAGGCAAAUAGCUGAAUUACUGAGCUCCACUAAAACAGUCCUUGAGUUUAUUGGUCAGUCUGUUAAAUGUCAGAGUUCUUCACAUUGUUGAAAAAAAAAAAAAAAAAACACCGCAUCUUUAAUUAUUUAAACAUUAAGUUGUCCUGAAUGUUUUACCAACCAACAUAAAAGAGUUCCCAGGGAGUUCCCAUCGUGGCUCAGCAGGAAAGGAAUCUGACUAGCAUCCAGGAGGAUGCAGGUUCGAUCCCUGGCCUUGCUCAGGGGUAAGGAUCCGGCAUUGCCAUGAGCUGUGGUGUAGGCCACAGAUUUGGCUUGGAUCCCAAGUUGCUGUGGCGCAGGCCAGCAGCUACUGUUCCGAUUGGACCCCUAGCCUGGGAAUCUCCAAAAUGUGGAGGGUGCGGCCCUAAAAAGACCAAAAAAAAAAAAAAAAAAAAUGAGUUCCUGGGCAACCUUCUUUGUAAUGGUAAUAAGUUCUUUUUUCCUUAAAUAGAAACAAACCUCCUCUGUUUGAUACUGAACAAACUAAAAAACAUGCAUCCAAAUCUCUUUCUGGCCACGUUGAAGGGCACAAGCACCCUUUUCUACCCCCAAAGGGGCCAGGCCAUUGCAUUAUAAUGCCAAAAAAAAAAAAAUCUAUUCUUAUAGCUGCACCAAUGUGUCCACGUAGAGAAGACCUCCCACCUCUGGACCCCAACAUCCAUUUGUCCCCUACUCUUGGCCUUGACCACCAAUAAUAUCCAUUUACUUCAUGAGUGAGUACUGGGAUUGGGGGAUGGUGCAGAAUUAGCUAUCUGUCCCCUUUGGCCUCUCUGGUAAAGGCACAAAAGCCGGGAAAGAGAAGGUCUCAUAAAAUGGGGUAUUCCCCCGAGGUGGGUGGCAGGGUCCUGCGGAUAGCUGGCUGCUCAAGGCCAAUGAGAUUGUCUCCACACCCCUGGAGGCCCUGGAUCUACCUAGUCUGCAAACCGCUGCAGGAGAUGGUCCUCCCGCCUCAAGCUGCCGCCCGCGCCGCCGCCCCCGCUGUCCAUGAAGCGGUCGCACGGGAACUCGAUGAGGUCCGCCUCGCUGAGCGCGCACACGGUGGUGCGCGGUCGGUGCGACUGGAAUCCAGAAAAGUCGGCCGAGACGCCGGUGCCCAUGGAGCGCAGGGGCCGUCGGGUGGAGUACAUGUGACGGACGUGGACUGGGGCCCCGCCCUUCCGCCUGGCCCGCAACUUCCUCCGCAGCCAGCGCGACGCCCAGGCGGCCAAGGCCAGGAGUACCAGCAGCGCGUUGACGGCCAGCAGGGCCAAGGUCAGCAGUUGGUAGUCGACGCUGCUUCGGCUCCCAGACUCUGGCAGGGUGACCAGCCCCGCGCAGUGGUCCCGGGGAGCCACAGGGCAGACCCGGCCGCCGAGCACGCCCUCCACGCACACCAGGUAGGGAGUGUCUCCGCGCAGCUCCCGCAGCGUGGCCGAGUCGCUGCGCUCGGGCAGGUAGACGAAACGGUGGAAUUUAGGCUGCUGCCCAAAGCGGUCGAAGAGCAGUCGGAAGCGCGCGCCGCCCAGCGGCCGGGGGCUGCGGUGCUCGCGCACCGCCCAGCGCACCGAAGCGCUGUCUGCGCCCACCGCCUCCACCGUCAGGUUGCACAGGAUGAACUUGUUGAAGUCACACGGGUCAGAUACCAGCGGCGGCAGGCCGACCCCGCCGUCGGAUUGGGCUGCGGUUUCUAGUUGCGGCGCCGCUAGGCGCUGCUUCGCUGCGCGCUGCCAUGGGUCUCCGGCUGGCGCCGAGCCAGCCGCAGCCGUCUGGGUGGGCUCCGCGUGGGCAGGAUCCGACGCAGUCGGACGUCCCCGCUCUGGCUUCUCCAGCAGGUCCUGGGGGUGUGGCGCCGGGCCUGCGGCAGCAGCGGCGUUGAAACCCGGCUGCUGAAGGCCCGGGCCUCGCCGGCUCAGCCUAAGGGCACUGCGGUUACCCAAGAGCUCCCUGGCAGCCCCGUCCCAGGCCACCCCUGGCAGAAAUCGACCCCGCUGCUGCGGCUGGGGCUGCGGAGGCUCCUGCGCAAGGGCACCUGGAGGGGGCGCCACCUCCUCCUCUUGGGCUGUGGGUAGGGGCAGCUGCUUGCCGUCGGCAGUCGGGGGAACCGAGGGCGAGGGAUCUGCACAAGACCCGUUCUGCAGUUGCUGGUCAUCCAGGUAAUCCAGGUACUUGCCCCGCAGGGCCGGAGGGUGGCGACACUGCACGAAAACGGUGAGGAGCCGGCCUUGAGAGUGCCAGUCGCCCAUCCAACGCUUCAGGCCUCGCAGCCGGCAGUCGCAGGUCCAGCCAUUGCCGUCAAGAUCCAGCCUGUAGAGGGCUGGGCUGGCGGCGAAAAUGUCCCCGGAGAGGGCGCUGAGCGCGUUGUCGCGCAGGCUGAGCUCGCGCAGCCGGCCCAGGUGGCCAAAGACAGUGGGGUGCAGAGCGGACAGCUCGUUGCCGCUUAGGUCCAGCGCCUCCAGGCUAUGCAGAGGCUCCAGCAGCGCCACGGGCAACUGGCUCAGCCGAUUCCCCUCCAGGCGCAGCUCGCGCAAGGCUUCCAACCCCCAGAAGGCCUCGGGCGCGAGGUGCGUGAGCUGGUUGCCCCUGAGCGAGAGUAAGCCCAGGCGCGGCAGGUGCUGGAAAACGCGCGGCCCGAGGUGCUGCAGGCUGUUGGCUGAGAGGAUGAGAGUGGAGAGGGAGCGCAGCGGUGCGAAGGUGGCUGCAUGGCGUAGGGAGGGCUGCAGCUCGUUGGCAGAGAGGUUGAGGAAGCGCAGCUUCCCCAACUGGGCGAAGGCGUUUUUGCCCAGAAAGCGGAUCCGAUUGGACUCCAGAUGCAGGUAGAGCAAGUUGCCAAGGGGGCGAAGACGGCGUCCGGAAGCGCCCCCAAGGCGUUCCCGUCCAGCCGCAGCUUGACGAGACUCUCUAGGCCUUCGAAGGAGCCGCGGCUGAGGCGGCCGAUCUCGUUCCCGUUGGCGUAGAGGAUGCGCAGCUUGCGCAGCGGCGCCAGUGUCCCGGGAGCGAGCGUCUGCAGGAGGUUGUUGCCCAGGUAGAGCUCCUCCAGCCGGGAGAGCUUCUCGAAGGUCUUGGGGUGCAGAAAGCGGAUCUGAUUAUACUGCAGGUCCAGCCGUCUGAGCUGCCCCAGGCGGUGGAAGUCGAAGGCCGUGAUGUUGGUUAUGAAGUUGCCGCCGAGGCUGUAAGUGAGCACGUCCUGCGGGCUCGGCAGCGAGCUGGUCUUGGGCACGGCUCGGAGCCCCCUGUUGGUGCACAGAAGGUGCUGGGGGUGCUGGCAGUCGCAGCGCUCCGGGCAUACCGUCUGGGCCCGCGGCGGCAGCGCGAGGCAGCCGCACACCACGAGCAAGAAGCGCACGGCGCGAGCAGCCUCCAUCGCCGCCCGCCCUGCGUGCUGAGGCCGGAUCGUCCUCUUGGCCCGCCGGCUCUGUGUCUCCUCUGCAUUCCCCUUGGCCUGGCCAGAGUCGCUAAAUGG